AUUCCAGCUCCAAUAGCAUAUAUUAAAGUUGUUGCAGUUAAAAAGCUCGUAGUUGGAUUUCUGGCAUGAUGCGCCUGGCCCACCGCGAUUACGUGUGUGAGUGCUAGUGCGCGUCUGCCAUCCAUUUGCAGAAUAUAUCUACCCUUCAUUGGGCCGGAUAUGUGAUGUAAAUCUUUUACUUUGAAAAAAUUAGAGUGUUUAAAGCAGGCAUUUGCUAUGAAUACAUUAGCAUGGAAUAAUAAUCUAGGACUUCGGUUCUAUUUUGUUGGUUUCUAGAUCUGGAGUAAUGAUUGAUAGGGAUAGUUGGGGGUGCUAGUAUUAAGGGGCCAGAGGUGAAAUUCUUGGAUUCUCUUAAGACUAACUUAUGCGAAAGCAUUCACCAAGGAUGUCUUCAUUA
rnacentral:rRNA from 1 species